rnacentral:tRNA from 1 species
GCCCGUGUAGCUCAGUUGGUAGAGCAUGGUGUUUGCAAUGCCAGGGUUGUGGGUUCAAUUCCCACAGGGGACC